UACGGAGGAGGCAAGCGUUAUCCGGAAUUAUUGGGCGUAAAGCGUCCGUAGAUGGUCGCUUCAAGUCUGCUGUCAAAGACUGGGGCUUAACCCUGGAAAGGCCGUGGAAACUGAAUAGCUAGAGUGCAGUAGGGGUAGAGGGAAUUCCCGGUGUAGCGGUGAAAUGCGUAGAGCUCGGGAAGAACAUCGGUGGCGAAAGCGCUCUGCUGGACUGCAACUGACACUCAGGGACGAAAGCUAGGGGAGCGAAUGGG
rnacentral:rRNA from 1 species